GACAAACGGGUCGAGUUAAAAUAGAUAACAGUAUAAAAGGAGGUUAAGAGUUGUUGGGAAGGAAAAUGAUGUUUUUUAUGGGGGUAGAAUUUGUGUAAAAAAAGAUAAUUUUAUUUUUCCUUCAUUUGAGGCCUCGAAAUUUUGUUAUGAAACCGGGAUUAGAUACCCCGUUAUUCAAAAUGUAAACGUUAAUAAAAAUUAAUUUACUUGAGUAUUACGAGUGAUGCAGAUAUUGAAGUUUUGUAUGAUACUUAAAACUCAAAAAACUUGGCGGUGCCUUAUGUCCUUCCAGGGGAACCUGUCCUAUAAUCGAUAGUCCACGUUUUAGCUUUCUUUUUUUUGAAAAAUAACAGCUUGUAUACCGUCGUCGUCGGGUUACCCUUGAGAGUUAUGAAGUUAUCGGUAUGAAUAGGUAUAAAAUUUAGUGACUUGAUCUAUAGUUAUGUAAUUAUUCUAGACGUCAGAUCAAGGUGCAGCUUAUAAAAAAGAAGAGAUGGGUUACAAUAAUUAAUUUAUUAUAACGAAUCUUUGUUGUAAUUAGCAUAGUUGAAGGAGGACUUGGAAGUAAUUUUUGAGAUAAGAGAGCUUGAAUGAACAGAGGCUCUAAGGUGCGC
rnacentral:rRNA from 1 species